rnacentral:tRNA from 1 species
GAAAUAAGAAAAUCAAGAAAAAGCUUCUAACUUUAUUCUUAAGCAGUGUGAUUCUGUUUUUAUUUCU